rnacentral:rRNA from 1 species
GAAGUCGAGCGGACAGAAGGGAGCUUGCUCCCGGAUGUUAGCGGCGGACGGGUGAGUAACACGUGGGUAACCUGCCUGUAAGACUGGGAUAACUCCGGGAAACCGGAGCUAAUACCGGAUAGUUCCUUGAACCGCAUGGUUCAAGGAUGAAAGACGGUUUCGGCUGUCACUUACAGAUGGACCCGCGGCGCAUUAGCUAGUUGGUGGGGUAAUGGCUCACCAAGGCGACGAUGCGUAGCCGACCUGAGAGGGUGAUCGGCCACACUGGGACUGAGACACGGCCCAGACUCCUACGGGAGGCAGCAGUAGGGAAUCUUCCGCAAUGGACGAAAGUCUGACGGAGCAACGCCGCGUGAGUGAUGAAGGUUUUCGGAUCGUAAAGCUCUGUUGUUAGGGAAGAACAAGUGCGAGAGUAACUGCUCGCACCUUGACGGUACCUAACCAGAAAGCCACGGCUAACUACGUGCCAGCAGCCGCGGUAAUACGUAGGUGGCAAGCGUUGUCCGGAAUUAUUGGGCGUAAAGGGCUCGCAGGCGGUUUCUUAAGUCUGAUGUGAAAGCCCCCGGCUCAACCGGGGAGGGUCAUUGGAAACUGGGAAACUUGAGUGCAGAAGAGGAGAGUGGAAUUCCACGUGUAGCGGUGAAAUGCGUAGAGAUGUGGAGGAACACCAGUGGCGAAGGCGACUCUCUGGUCUGUAACUGACGCUGAGGAGCGAAAGCGUGGGGAGCGAACAGGAUUAGAUACCCUGGUAGUCCACGCCGUAAACGAUGAGUGCUAAGUGUUAGGGGUUUCCGCCCCUUAGUGCUGCAGCUAACGCAUUAAGCACUCCGCCUGGGGAGUACGGUCGCAAGACUGAAACUCAAAGGAAUUGA